UGAGGUUCUGUAACAAGCACAAUCAAUUGGCAAAUCGAUUGAUGGAAAAGUCUGAGUCACUAUGAUCAGCACAAUCGAUUGACGAAUCGAUUGAAGAAAAUGUUCAAGUUACAGAAAGGUUUCAGCUAAGUGCCAAAUCGAUUAUGAAGUCGACUGAGGAAUCGAUUGUUUUGAUUUCGUUGUUGAAUCAAAACACCUAUAAUCGAUUACUCAAUCGAUUUGGAUAAAAUCAUAGUUCCAGUUCUGAUUAAUGUAUUAAAAGAAUCGAUUGGCAAAUCGAUUCAUGCUUAUAUGAUUCAAGAUUCAAGAAAAACAAGACCUGCGAAAAUCGAUUAGGCAAUCGAUUAAUGCAUUAUGAAAUCGAUUAGGAAAUCGAUUGUCCUGGUGUUUUCUUUGAAU
rnacentral:lncRNA from 1 species